rnacentral:rRNA from 1 species
UACGAACCGUACAAACGUUAUUCGGAAUCACUGGGCUUAAAGGGUGCGUAGGCGGCCAUGUAAGUGAGGUGUGAAAUCCCUCGGCUCAACCGAGGAACUGCGCUUCAUACUGCAUGGCUUGAGGGAGACAGGGGGUAAGCGGAACUGAUGGUGGAGCGGUGAAAUGCGUUGGAUAUCAAUCAGGAACACCGGUGGCGAAAGCGGCUUACUGGGUCUCUUCUGACGGCUGAGGUACGAAAGCUAGGGGAGACGACGGG